AACGAACGCUGGCGGCAGGCCUAACACAUGCAAGUCGAACGGGAUCUUCGGAUCUAGUGGCGGACGGGUGAGUAACGCGUGGGAACGUGCCCUUUGGUUCGGAAUAGCCCUGGGAAACUGGGAGUAAUACCGGAUGAGCCCUUCGGGGGAAAGAUUUAUCGCCAAAGGAUCGGCCCGCGUUGGAUUAGGUAGUUGGUGGGGUAAGGGCCUACCAAGCCGACGAUCCAUAGCUGGUUUGAGAGGAUGAUCAGGCACCAUGGGACUGAGACACGGCCCAGACUCCUACGGGAUGCAGCAGUGGGGAAGCUUAGACAAUGGGGUAACCCCUGAUCUAGCCAUGCCGGGUGAGCGAUGAAGGCCUUAGGGUUGUAAAGCUCUUUCGUGGGGGAAGAUAAUGACUGUACCCCAAGAAGAAGCCCCGGCUAACUCCGUGCCAGCCGCCGCCGUAACAC
rnacentral:rRNA from 1 species